rnacentral:miRNA from 10 species
GGAAACUUAUCAGGUUGGUGCAAAAGUAGUUGCGGUUUUUGCCAUUACUUUCAGUUGCAAAACCGCAAUUACUUUUGCGCCAACCUAAUAC